rnacentral:rRNA from 1 species
CAGUCGCCGCGGUAAUACGUAGGGUGCAAGCGUUAAUCGGAAUUACUGGGCGUAAAGCGUGCGCAGGCGGUUCGCUAAGACAGAUGUGAAAUCCCCGGGCUUAACCUGGGAACUGCAUUUGUGACUGGCGGGCUAGAGUAUGGCAGAGGGGGGUAGAAUUCCACGUGUAGCAGUGAAAUGCGUAGAGAUGUGGAGGAAUACCAAUGGCGAAGGCAGCCCCCUGGGCCAAUACUGACGCUCAUGCACGAAAGCGUGGGGAGCAAACAGGAUUAGAUACCCCUGUAGUCCCUGUCUCUUAUAC